rnacentral:pre_miRNA from 1 species
GUGUGAAUCACAGGGCGCUUCUCCCUUGGCACGGUGGCAUGCAUGUAUCAGUGAGUGUGUGGUGCAGCUUGCUAGCAAGUCGUGCGUGCCAAAGGAGAAUUGCCCUGCCAUUCGCCU